AGAACAAACAGGUCAUGAGGUCAAGGGGUUACAAAGAUGGCAUUGUUUGGAUGAACAACACAAUUUUUACACUUAAUGGUUUACAAAUUUGUCUCACAGGAUAUGUAAACGUGUCAUUUUUCCCAAUGUUCUUCAUCCAGUUCUUUCUGCAGUUGUAUUGUAUGUAUGUGAUGAGAUAUUUUGACU